UGGGGAAUUUUUGGACAAUGGGCGAAAGCCUGAUCCAGCAAUGCCGCGUGUGUGAAGAAGGCCUUCGGGUUGUAAAGCACUUUUGUCCGGAAAGAAAUCCUUGGCUCUAAUACAGUCGGGGGAUGACGGUACCGGAAGAAUAAGCACCGGCUAACUACGUGCCAGCAGCCGCGGUAAUACGUAGGGUGCAAGCGUUAAUCGGAAUUACUGGGCGUAAAGCGUGCGCAGGCGGUUUGCUAAGACCGAUGUGAAAUCCCCGGGCUCAACCUGGGAACUGCAUUGGUGACUGGCAGGCUAGAGUAUGGCAGAGGGGGGUAGAAUUCCACGUGUAGCAGUGAAAUGCGUAGAGAUGUGGAGAAUACCGAUGGCGAAGGCAGCCCCCUGGGCCAAUACUGACGCUCAUGCGCGAAAGCGUGGGGAGCAAACAGGAUUAGAUACCCUGGUAGUCCACGCCCUAAACGAUGUCAACUGUUGUUGGGGAUUCAUUCCUUAGUAACGUAGCUAACGCGUGAAGUUGACCGCCUGGGGAGUACGGUCGCAAGAUUAAAACU
rnacentral:rRNA from 1 species